rnacentral:rRNA from 1 species
ACGCUGGCGGCGUGCUUAACACAUGCAAGUCGAACGCUGAAGCUUGGGUGCUUGCAUCUGGGUGGAUGAGUGGCGAACGGGUGAGUAAUACGUGAGUAACCUGCCCUUGACUCUGGGAUAAGCCUGGGAAACUGGGUCUAAUACUGGAUACUACACUCUCUCGCAUGGGGGUGUGUGGAAAGGGUUUUACUGGUUUUGGAUGGGCUCACGGCCUAUCAGCUUGUUGGUGGGGUAAUGGCCUACCAAGGCGACGACGGGUAGCCGGCCUGAGAGGGUGACCGGCCACACUGGGACUGAGACACGGCCCAGACUCCUACGGGAGGCAGCAGUGGGGAAUAUUGCACAAUGGGCGAAAGCCUGAUGCAGCGACGCCGCGUGAGGGAUGACGGCCUUCGGGUUGUAAACCUCUUUCAGCACGGAAGAAGCGAAAGUGACGGUACGUGCAGAAGAAGCGCCGGCUAACUACGUGCCAGCAGCCGCGGUAAUACGUAGGGCGCAAGCGUUGUCCGGAAUUAUUGGGCGUAAAGAGCUCGUAGGCGGUUUGUCGCGUCUGCUGUGAAAGCCCGGGGCUUAACCCCGUGGUGUGCAGUGGGUACGGGCAGACUAGAGUGCAGUAGGGGAGACUGGAAUUCCUGGUGUAGCGGUGAAAUGCGCAGAUAUCAGGAGGAACACCGAUGGCGAAGGCAGGUCUCUGGGCUGUUACUGACGCUGAGGAGCGAAAGCAUGGGGAGCGAACAGGAUUAGAUACCCUGGUAGUCCAUGCCGUAAACGUUGGGCACUAGGUGUGGGGGACAUUCCACGUUUUCCGCGCCGUAGCUAACGCAUUAAGUGCCCCGC